AACGAACGCUGGCGGCAGGCCUAACACAUGCAAGUCGAGCGGACCCUUCGGGGUUAGCGGCGGACGGGUGAGUAACGCGUGGGAAUAUGCCCUUCUCUACGGAAUAGUCCUGGGAAACUGGGGGUAAUACCGUAUACGCCCUUUGGGGGAAAGAUUUAUCGGGGAAGGAUUAGCCCGCGUUGGAUUAGGUAGUUGGUGGGGUAAUGGCCUACCAAGCCGACAAUCCAUAGCUGGGUUGAGAGGAUGAUCAGCCACACUGGGACUGAGACACGGCCCAGACUCCUACGGGAGGCAGCAGUGGGGAAUCUUAGACAAUGGGGGCAACCCUGAUCGAGCCAUGCCGGGUGAGUGAUGAAGGCCUUAGGGUUGUAAAGCUCUUUCAGCUGGGAAGAUAAUGACGGUACCAGCAGAAGAAGCCCCGGCUAACUCCGUG
rnacentral:rRNA from 1 species